GACAGAGGGGGCAAGCGUUGCUCGGAAUUACUGGGCGUAAAGGGCGCGUAGGCGGGAUGGCAAGUCGGUCGUGAAAUCCCUCGGCUCAACCGAGGAACGUCGAUCGAUACUGCUGUUCUUGAGGAUUGCAGAGGAGACUGGAAUUCCCGGUGUAGCGGUGAAAUGUGUAGAUAUCAGGAGGAAUACCGAUGGCGAAGGCAGGUCUCUGGGCUGACACUGACGCUCAUGCACGAAAGCGUGGGGAGCAAACAGG
rnacentral:rRNA from 1 species